rfam:Gossypium arboreum cultivar AKA8401 contig_7710_1, whole genome shotgun sequence.
UUUUAAAAAUUUCAUCUAUUUCUUCUGCUAAAAAUUGGUGCUGUGGAAGAAAUAACCAGACGAUUACCUAUGGCGUGCUGCGUGAAUCUUAUACUGAUAUACAAUGACUAAAUUUUAACAAUAAAAAUGAAUGGAAUUUUUAACA